GAAAUAGAAUUGCUCACCUUUGUUCUUAUACUGAUGAUAGUUCAUUUCCAACAAUCAGAAAGGAGAAAACUGAAAACGGAAAUUGCAGGUUGGUAUGCACAUCCCUAUGUGUAAUUGUGUAUGGUUUAUGUUAAAAUGCAGUCCAAAAUAAUAUUUAGAUUAUUUAGAUAACCAUGGAAUCACAACCUUUUGUGAUAAGUACAUGUACUGCAUGGAUUGUUUUCUAUCAACAGAUGCAUGUACCAUCUCUUGCCGCGACAUUUUUUUUUUUGUAGAAGCACUAUUUAUUUAUCCACGUUGAUGGCAACACGAUUCCAAGGACAAUCUGAUUACAAGGCGAUCCAUAGUUACAGAACAAUUGGUUCCUUAAUGCUUUUGGUAUGAUGGUUUGUGGAUUAAAAAGAAUAAAGUGUACCUUGUGUAUGAUUUUAGGAUGCAAUGGAUCAUACGAACCGGUUUGCAAUAAUGAUAAUAAUUUGAAAGGAGGGCAUGAAUUUAUGGUGCAAGUAUUUAAUUUAUUGCUAAAACUUUUCUUUAUGCAAAGGGAAAGGGGCAUGACGUUCCUAUUUUCCUUAAAUGAUAGUUUUCUUGAUACUUGCAGAUAUCAACUCUUUGAUCUCUUCUUGACUGCGAUUUGCUCUUGUUACUUGGUUUUCGCUAAUUAACUCACUGGGACGAUAGUAAGCAAAAACAAUUUGUUUGUUCUGUUGUUUUUUCUUUAUGCAAGUGGUUAAAUUGGAUACAUUGUAACCAUUGUCUUGCUCCCAUGAGUACGGAAAGAACCUACGAAUGGUCAUGAUUGUUGGUGACACCUUGGGUUGCACAUUGGUCUCACCAUACAGUCACCUAUUCUUCUACAUCAACCAUCCAAAUGUUGUUUUUGGCCUAGAGGAUCUGCGCAAAGAAAUGAGCAUGGCAACCACCAUCCUCCGGUAGUCUUUGUGUGCAUAUCCAUAGUUUGAUGAUAGUACAUUGAAUUUUUCUCUCAUUCUCAUAUAGUCACAUUGAAGGUUAAUAUUUGGAGAAUAACAAAGAUGUGAUCAGUUUGGAUGUCUUAGCUUCCCAACCUUUUCGAGCUGGCGUUUGGUGGUGGUACCCUUAUGCACGCAUAUAAUCCAUCGAAGAAUGAUGGGUCAGCCAGUUGCCAGCAGCUGCUGGUGCCGAGCUGAAGACGUGAGCAUUUCGUCUGCGGUUGGCUGAUCACCACAGGGUUGCAUAGAGGGUAAUCAAUUUUUAUGUGGAGUGUAGCAUGCUUUUGACUCUAGAAAUGUACUGGUGUCCUCUGAGAAUCAUGCUUGAUAUGUACAAGCAGUGUUAUGUAUCCGUGAUUGAAGGUUGGCAUGCAUGAAUAAAUGCUACUUUGAAUCAGGUAAAAAGUCUUUUAUACCAGUUAUUAUUACAAUGGAAGUGACAAGGGAUUCUUUACUACCAGUUAUUCCAAACAGAGGAAGCAAAAGAAAAGCCAUGUCAUCCUCCAAACGCACUCCAUUUCAGUUAGUUUUGUCGCUGCCACUAAAUCAAUUCGAAUAUUUAAAUACAUUGUUUCUGUCAAAAUAGACUCCUUAUGGGGGUGCAUGCUGAAGUAUAGUAUUUUAAUGAAAUAUUAUUACUGCUUAUCAAUUUAAGAGUUCCUUGUGAGAUGCAAUAUUAAUACUGCAGUAGCAUAGAACCAUGAGAAUUCUGCAUCAGGUUAACAUCAUAUGCUGGUACUGGUUUGGUCACAACCUAUUUUCCAAGCAGUUUUUAUUUGAAUUUUUCUCAAAGUUUGGUUUAUAAAACCUGGGUCAAGCAUGUUUUGUUGAGUUCUCAUUGCUUUCAUUUGUAAUCAGGAUACAGGGUUAACUUCUUACCAUUUCAGACUGACCCACAUGUUGUUGCUUGAUAAAGGCGUUGUCCUGAGCGACUUGAUUCACCGCGGCGUAGCCGUUCUACAUGUGUAGAUCACGGUUGAUUGCCUGCUAGCGUGCAGAGUGUAUCAUGGAUUCAGUUUUCAAAAUAUUUUACAUAAUAUACAUGUAAAUUUUCAGAGCAGAAGCUCACUCUCUCUACUUCUUUCAGCAAUAUCACAAUAUUUUAUCAGACACGUGGGGCUUAUUUCUGUUGAGUUCCAUCUCCGUGUGAUCUUAGCUGGCCGGUUGGGGCAAGAAUCAGUCAUUAAUGCUCUUGUUCAUGUAUGUUUGCAUCAUCGGACAUCAGUCAUUGCAUAUAUUAACUAUGUUAUGUACUGCAAGGCAUGCGUCUUGUAAUGUGAAUAUUUUUGCAUUUUAUAUUGAGAACUAAACUUCCUUGAGAAUAUUUCUGACCAAUUAUCUUUUUUAUAUGCUUGUUGUACUCUGAAUAUCUAUGAUAUAUCAUGAUUUGGUUACAACAAUGGAAUGACUUCAUUAUGUUGUUAUAGUCUAAUAGAUGUGUUUUUCUGUUUCAGUUGCAUUAUGCUGCCAACGUAUUGAAUGAGUGAGAAGAUACAGGUCCUUUCCUAUUUAACCUUACUUUUCUGUUUACAUGAACAUAUUGGUUGAUGUGUUCAACUCAAAUGGAUCAACCAUGGAUAUGAUCAUAUGCAUCGAGGAGCCAAAACAUCACUCCCCUCUUGGGUUGUAUUUCUUUCACUAAAUAUUUUGGGUUCUAUAUGUUUUGCUGAUGGUGAUGUAGAGUAGGGAAUAACGAGACAAGGAUGCUUUAGGGACGCAACAAGCACUACCUUAACGCUGGUGUUUUUCUUUCCAGAGAAAUGAGCACAUA